AAUAGAUACCCCGGUAGUCCACCCCGUAAACGUUGGGAACUAGUUGUGGGGUCCUUUCCACGGAUUCCGUGACGCAGCUAACGCAUUAAGUUCCCCGCCUGGGGAGUACGGCCGCAAGGCUAAAACUCAAAGGAAUUGACGGGGACCCGCACAAGCGGCGGAGCAUGCGGAUUAAUUCGAUGCAACGCGAAGAACCUUACCAAGGCUUGACAUACACCAGAACACCCUAGAAAUAGGGGACUCUUUGGACACUGGUGAACAGGUGGUGCAUGGUUGUCGUCAGCUCGUGUCGUGAGAUGUUGGGUUAAGUCCCGCAACGAGCGCAACCCUCGUUCUAUGUUGCCAGCACGUAAUGGUGGGAACUCAUGGGAUACUGCCGGGGUCAACUCGGAGGAAGGUGGGGAUGACGUCAAAUCGAUCAUGCCCCUUAUGUCUUGGGCUUCACGCAUGCUACAAUGGCCGGUACAAAGGGCUGCAAUACCGUGAGGUGGAGCGAAUCCCAAAAGCCGGUCCCAGUUCGGAUUGAGGUCUGCAACUCGACCUCA
rnacentral:rRNA from 1 species